GUAAGAGUAUUUGUUCAAGCUACAAGCAGGAUGCUACACCAUGACAGUUCUGCCUUGUAAUGUUUGACUACUCCAGUCUCCAUGACUGUUGGGGAUUCUGCUCGGACAGGAGUGCUCCAGCUCCCAGCUUCCUCCAUCCCAUAAUCAUGCCCUCAAACAGUGAUGACAGCGUGAAACGAGAGUGAGGCGGAAGAUUGGAGAGACAUUCUGCGGGUGACAUUUGACAAAGGUCACGGAUGAGAUUCAAACGUGCGUAACAGAGACGGCGCCCCUGGCCCACAGGUGGAGGUUCUCUGCAGAGAGGCUGCUACCGCAUGCCAGGUCACCACCUGGCUGCAGCAUGCAAAGGCUGAGCCUCACCGGAACCCCCCACCCCCACACCACCCGUUAAACAACAUAGUCUCGUCGCAUAGCUGUCUGACCAGGCUUCCCCCAGCAUAGAAAAAAGUAUAAAGAGCGGAUGGGAACGGUUAAAUAAUUAUGUGCACCAUUAUGAGUCAUAGGUAGAUCAUUUUUAAAGGUAGAGCCCCUAAAGAACCCUGACUGUUUUAUCUCACCAGUCUAUAAUUUUUCUAGAUCUUUAAAAAACAUCAAAAACAAAAAAGAAAUUGUUUCCUUCCCCUGACCAAAAAGAAAGCAAAGCUGAAUAGUUUGAGCUUUAGUGGAUAAUUGUGAUGGGGAGUCAGUGGUCAAUUAUUGUGAAUAGUAGAGUGAAGAAAAGAAACAUGCGCAGAGUUGUUUUGGGGUUUUUUUUUGCUCACAAAGAGAAGCAAAGCCUAAGAGUUUAAGGUUUAGUGGCUAUUUCGGGCAUGUACAGUCAUGGUUCAAUAACUGCCCUGAAAAGACAUGUACAAAGUUGACAUUUGACCUAUAUGGCUCAUCUUGUAAGUUUUUGCAGUGUCAUUCCAAAAUAAAUGUUUUUCUGUUCUCACAGAGGCAAUAUAUACCUUACAAUUUGAGAUUUAGCAGAUAAUAUGAGCGGUAGAGACUUUGGUAGCCAACUGUAAAUGGUGGAGUCAUUCGGUAGAUGAUUACGAUUAUUGAGAAAACUGUUAAGUCUGCUUUUGACUUCAGAGAUCUUGUUCCUAGAAACUAAAGCUCCCCGCGGGAUAUUGACGAUGGAAAUUUGUAGCACCCUAAAAAAGGAAUGUUUACUAACAAGUUACCCUUGGCUACCUCAGCAGGCUUUCUUCAAAUAGUUUUCUCCACAUAAAUUGAGACCUCGCCUUCUUGUGCUGACAACAAAACAUACCCUGAUCACUUUAGAACUGAACCAGAUAGAACACCAUAACGCUAGCAUGAACAGCAUCAUGCUAGCCUGUCUGGUACAAGGUCGGUCAGAACAGUACUGAAAAUAGUUUUAUGAAAAAAGUCCAGGAGGAUUUUGUAUUGUUUAAGCAGAUCACACAAAUGCCAAAAAAUCUUCAUUUCACAACAGGUUGUGUGACAAUCUGACCGCAUGUAAUUGACAUACCGGGAAUAGUUGGCAACCGGUCCAGAGUGCACCCCGCCUCUUGCCCAAAGUUGACUGUCAUGGACUUCAGCUCAACUGUAACCCCCAAUAAGGACAAGCGCUAUAGAAAAUUGCUGAAUGGGUAAUGAACACACUCAAUUAAAAUCGAUGCAGUAUGAAACAAUAUAAAAUGGCAACAGUUCACAUUAAAGGUCUGAUUCCCACAAGUUCGCCACCUUGCCGGCCGCCUAUAUGAUGUAUGCUAAUGGUUCCGUAAAUGCCAUGCGGCCAAUCUGGAGGUGAUAUAUAUUAAUGAUGAGUAUCAUCAUCAGAUAUCAGGUAACUAAAUGCCUCUCCUUCACGCGCAUCUUUAAAUGUUUCUCAAGGUGCUCCAUGGUCACCUGAGACUUUUGAGGAAAAUGUGCUGCUAUCACACGUCGACAUUCACACACUCACACAAAAACCCUGCGAUGUGGCGUGCUGACGCGCAAAGGCACGUGUUCAUUAUGAUAAUCUAGUCAGUGUGGAUGCACCAGUAGCGGAUAAUAAUUUGUGGUUUUUGGGUCAACGUGUGUUCGAAUUACAGAACAGACUGUACCAGGAAAACAAAAAACAGCAGGUCAAAUCGUUAGAGGCUAAAGAGGUAUGAAACAACCACUUCAGGAUAUCACCAAAUUUUGACAAUAAACUUUAACAUUACCCGAAUGUAAAUGUUUAUCCUGUUAAAAAAAAUAGACCAACCUUUCCUUUUUUAUAGCACUUGUCCACAUUAGUUGCAAGUGAGAUUCAAACCCCUAACCUGAGAACUGUGAGGCAGAUGUGGUAACCACUUGCUCACAAUGCCGUCCUUUUGAACCAAUUAAUCUGGUAUAUGCUCAAUUUGCUUCAUUUUUUUUUCAACACCUGGUCGAAGCACUUCCUUCCUGUUAGGGGGAAUACUUAAAGACACAUGGGACAAUUUUAUAGUCUUCAAUGAACCCAACAGGCUUUUGAUUAUGGAAGGAAGCCAGAACAUCCAGAGAACACCCAAACUCAGAACUAUGAGGCAAACGUGCUAACCGCUAGACAUUUACCAGAUAUGUACAGCUAUUUGGGGGGGACAUGGACCAAGCCCUGCCAUGAUAAGCAAAAGUUCGUGAGUACUCUUAAAAGGUCUAUAAUUGCCUAUUGACACGGGUUUGGCUGAAGCAUAAAGACAGUGAAUUGGUGAGUUCUUCAGUGAAUAUCAGAAGCUAGGUAAAUAAAAAAAAAUCUACAAAUGGGUAAAUUCACAAGUACCAAAAAUACAGGGGAAUACUGUACUUAGACCCAGAAUACAAGCCGUCGAGUUGCCAAGGAACUUUCAGUUCUGACUUCUCGUAUUGGGUGAUUUACUCAUGCAGUGUGAUUUGAAAAAUGACAUUUCUAAAAUUGUAAACGGCGUGCCCACAAGCACGCCGACAUUAGUACAAACACUAGUCGUACACGAGCACACUCCUGUGGAAAGUGUCAUGAUCCGUCGAGCUUCUAUUUAUUCGCGUUUCUUUUUAUGGAAAAUUCGACCGAGCGAUUUUUCUCUCGACUGUGGCUCUCCACAUUCGAGAGUCUAUUUGUGUCUACCUCUCUCCGUCAUUGCCUCCGCCAUGGCCUGAAGAGUGCUGAGAAUCAUGCCUGAGUGGGCCUCGCUCACUUCCACAGUUUGCACCGCAUGCGACGCAUAUAAGCACUCUUGCAAGUGGAGUUGAAGGUUGACAUCCUGAAAGGGAUCCUUGGGCCUCAACCUCAAAUGAACUGUUUCAGUGUGAAAACAAUAUGGAGAUGUGACCUUGGGCUGCUGCUGUACCUCUGACAAGGAGCUUGCUGGGCAGUUUAACAGAGCACCAACAAAGGACGAGCUCCUCUCCAGUGUCUUGUAACCGUCAGCCUCAUUCAACAAUCAUUGGAAUGCAAAAAACUAUUUUCCUAUUGAACAGAAUACAAAAGUCAUUAAUCCGUUUCAGCAAUUCCAUCCCCCCAAAAAAGAAAUUACCACUAAUAAAAAUAGCCAUCUAUCGAUUAUACUUUAUAGAUUUAAAGUAAAGACACAAUUAAAUAGAAUAUAAAGAAAGAAACAUUUUUGCCUCAGAUGUGUGUGCCGUGGCCACCUGGGGGCAGUAAAAUGCAACUAAACGGUACUGUACAUGAAGGAGACAGUCACAAACUCAGUUAACUACAGCAAUAGUAGUUGUUCUUAUAGAUAAUAAAGAAACCUGUACAUGUCUGUGAGAAUUGUUACAUUGUCUAUCUACAUGUGUUGUUCCAAUGUUUGUGUUCAAAUAUCUGUGGCUUAAAGGGUUAUUCAUUAACCUGUCCAUGGCAUUUUACAUUUCUUGUUAUCCAUCCAUCCAUUUUCUUUGCCGCUUAUCCGCAUGAAGGUCGUGGUGAGUGCUGGAGCCUAUCCCAGCUGUCAACAGGCAGGAGGCAGGGUACACACUGAACUUGUUGCCAGCCAAUCGCAGGGGACAUGGAGACAAACAGCCGCACUCACAAUCACACCUAGGGGCAAUAUAGACUGUCCAAUUAUUGUUGCAUGUUUUUGGGAUGUUGGAGGAAACCAGAGUGCCCGGAGAAAACCCACGCAGGCACGGGGAGAACAUGCAAACUCUACACAGGCAGUGCCGGGAUUGAACUCGGGACCUGAGAAUUGUGAGGCCAAUGCUUUCCAGCUGAUCCACCGUGCUGCCCAUUUUUUGUUAGCUUUGAACUAAAUAGACAUUCCUAAGAAAACGCUAUUUGACAGUUUGAAUCCACAACAUUUAAUUCUCUUUAUUUUGUGCCUUAAUUUGACUGUAAACUUCAAAUGGUAGCGACAAUAAACUGUCAAACAAUAAACAAAGGAUUGUUCACCAUCUGCCAAAUUGCUGCUUUUAGUAAAGUAAGAUGAGUUUACUGCCAUCAUAGAAGGCUAUUAUCGCACAUUUUCUCGUAGGUCAAAGCAAAAAAAAUCUGCCAAAUAACGGAAAAACUUACUGUUACACAUAUACUUUCUCUGGUCCCUUUCAGUCAUACAAGUUGUAUUUUUAAGACACAUCAGGGAACUAAUUGUCAUUGAAGUUGAAGUUAAUGGCUCAUAUCAUGUUGCUCUGAGGGAUUUGAACGUGCCAAACGCAGCAAUGUGGGUUAAUUUUGUUUCAUAGUCACACAUGCCUUUAAACUUGGCAGAGGCAUGUUUUCAAGAUGCCUUGUGAACGAAAUGUUCUUAUGCUGCUCUGAAGAAAACCCUAACCCAAUUUGUUAUGUUUUAUGUAAUGAUUUUUACCUUGAAGAAAUAACAGAAAUAGAAGAACUCAUCUGUGUAGAAUGGCGGGCCAGCACGUCCGCCUUCCGAGGUUGAGGGUUGGAAUCCGGAGUAGUGUUUGCAUGCUCUCCCUGUGUCUGCAUGGGUUUUCUUCUGGUACUAUGAAUUUUUUCCUCUAUAAAUAAAUAAUAAAAAAAACAUUAGGGUGAUUGAAGACAUUAUCUAUAGAGGUGUGAAUGGUUUAAUUACUAAUCCAUUCCAAGAACAAACCAUCACCAUCGUGGACCUGAUUUUCUGGUUCAAUUAGUAUUCAAACUGUCUUUUGCCUCAUGUUUUUCACAUUUUCACAUUGUAAGACAAUACCAUACAAUUAAUCUAAAGUAUAUCACAAUUGCAAGGACUCAGAAAGGAUGCUCACACAAAUCUGAGGACUGGGGCCUGUGUGGAGUUUGCAUGUUCUUCCCGUGCCUGCAUGGGUUUUCCCCCAGCACACCGGUUUCCUCCCACAUCCCAAAAACAUGCGUUAAUUGGACACUCUAAAUUGCCCCUGGGU